CUCAUCUUGGUCAACGAGCUGGUUCCCCUCCUUCCCCAAAACCCUAGCCUCCUCCCAUCCCGCCUCCCCCUGUCCAGUGCUCACCUCCCGCCAUGAACUACCGCUUCCAGAACCUCCUCGGCGCGCCGUACCGCGGAGGCGACGCCGUCUUCGCCGGUGACUCCCCCGUCCUCCUCUCGGCGGUCGGCAACCGCGUCGCGUCCACCGACCUCGCCGCCUCCUCCUCCCUCACGCUCCCCUUCGAGUCCUCCUCCAACGUCACCCGCCUCGCCGCCUCCCCCUCGGGUGAUUUCCUCCUCGCCGCGGACGACCACGGCCGCGCGCUCUACGCCAACCUCCGCCGCCGCGCCGUCCUCCACCGCGUCUCCUUCAAGGGCGCGCCCUCCGCCGUCCGCUUCAGCCCCGACGGCGAGCUCAUCGCUGUGGCCGUCGGGAAGGUCGUCCAGAUCUGGCGCUCGCCGGCGUUCCGCAGGGAGUUCUUCCCCUUCCACCUCCUCCGCACGUUUCCUGGCUUCGCCGCCGGCGUCACAGCCUUCGACUGGUCCCCUGACUCCGCGUUUCUCCUUGCGUCCUGCAAGGACCUUACAGCCCGCCUCUGUCCCGUCAAGAAGGGCCUAGGAGGUAAGCCCUUCCUGUUCCUCGGCCACCGCGCUGCUGUCGUUGGUGCCUUCUUCGCGACGGAUAAGAAGACAGGGAGCGUCAACAGGGCUUACACAAUUUCCAAGGACGGAGCUAUCUUUACAUGGAAUUUGGUGGAAGGAAACGAUGCUUCACCUCCACCUUCACCGGGGACGCCAGAGCAGGAAUCGGAACAGAAUGAUGCCAUGGAAUUGGAUGGUGGGAGGAGGAAAAGGAAGAGUUUGGGAGAACUGGACACCACUCCGCUGCAUUUGGCAAAAUGGGAGUUGCAGGAAAAACACUUCUUCAUGCAAUCACCGGCUAAGUUAACAGCAUGUGAUUACCACCGGGAGCUCGACAUGGUGGUGGUUGGAUUCUCUAAUGGAGUAUUUGGGCUUUACCAGAUGCCAGACUUUGUGUGCCUCCACUUGCUGUCAAUAUCAAGGGAGAAGAUCACCACUGCUAUUUUCAACAGUUUGGGGAAUUGGCUGGUUUUUGGAUGCGCCAAACUUGGGCAGCUGCUGGUGUGGGAGUGGCGGUCGGAGAGCUACAUUUUGAAGCAGCAGGGGCACUACUUCGAUGUGAAUUGCAUUGCAUACUCACCAGAUUCUCAGUUAUUGGCCACUGGAGCUGAUGAUAACAAAGUCAAGGUCUGGACAGUUUCUUCUGGGUUCGGUUUCAUAACAUUUUCGGAGCAUACAAAUGCUGUUACUGCAGUUCAUUUUAUGGCCAAUAACCAUUCUCUUCUAAGUGCCUCCCUUGACGGGACUAUCCGAGCUUGGGAUUUGUUCCGCUAUCGCAACUUCAGAACAUUUACCACCCCUUCACCCAGACAGUUUGUUUCUUUAACAGCAGACCCAAGUGGAGAAGUGAUAUGCGCUGGAACACUUGAUUCAUUUGAGAUAUUUGUUUGGUCAAUGAAAACCGGUCGAUUGUUGGAUAUACUCAGUGGCCACCAAGGACCAGUUCAUGGUCUAAUGUUUUCACCGAUCAAUGCUAUUCUGGCUUCAUCAUCAUGGGACAAAACUGUUCGCCUUUGGGAUGUUUUUGAGAGCAAGGGGGCAGUGGAAACUUUUCAACAUUCACAUGAUGUUCUUACUUUGGCUUAUCGUCCUGAUGGAAGACAGAUAGCAUGCAGCACAUUAGAUGGCCUAAUCCAUUUUUGGGAUCCAUUCGAUGGCUUGUUGAUGUAUACAAUCGAGGGCCGCAGGGAUAUUGCUGGGGGCCGCCUCAUGACUGAUAGAAGAUCUUCAGCUAAUACAACUAUAGGGAAGUACUUCACUACAUUGUGCUAUUCUGCUGAUGGGAGUUGUAUUUUAGCUGGAGGUAACAGCAAAUAUAUAUGCAUGUAUGACGUUGGAGAACAGGUACUGUUGCGUAGAUUCCAGAUCACUCGCAAUCUCUCAUUGGAUGGAGUUCUUGAUUUUCUGAACUCAAAAAGGAUGACAGAUGCUGGUGCGCUAGAUCUCAUUGAUGAUGAAGAUAGUGAUGUUGAAGAAGGAAUUGAUCAACAAACAAGAGGAAACUUGGGGCUUGGUUUACCUGGAUCAAUGGCAAAUAGGGGAAGACCCAUAGCUCGGACAAAAUGUGUUAAAUUUGCUCCAACUGGAAGAUCUUUUGCUGCAGCAACCAUUGAUGGCGUUCUAUUGUACUCAGUUGAUGAAUCAUUUAUUUUUGAUCCAACAGAUCUUGACAUUGAUGUUACACCUGAGAAAGUAGAGGAAGCUCUUGCAGAAAACCAACAUCAGAGAGCCCUUAUACUUGGCCUCCGAUUAAAUGAGGACUCCUUAAUUAAGAAGUGCAUAUUCGCUGUGGAUCCAUCCAAUAUACGAGCAAUUUGUUCGGCGAUACCUUAUAAGUAUCUCCAAAGAUUGAUUGAUGCAUUUGCUGACCUUUUGGAAAGUUGCCCCCAUCUGGAAUUUAUCCUCCUGUGGUCUCAGGAGCUAUGUAAGGUUCAUGGGCACUAUAUUCAACAGAACUCCAGAACCUUGCUUCCCGCUCUGAAAUCGUUGCAUAAGUCUAUAACAAGACUACAUCAAGAUUUGGCAGACACUUGCUCUUCUAAUGAGUACUUGUUGAAAUAUUUGUGCUCUGCUGGUACAAAGAAUUAGGCUGUGUUGAGAAAUGCUGAGUUCAGUGAGUACAUCUUUGUGGAUCUCCAUGAUUGCAAUCUCCACAGAAGGUAUGCAUGUGUUUGCAAACCCGGGCGAGGACGUGAGCAUGGAGAAGUUCAGCAGCUGAGGUUUAUCUGUCAACCCUUUUGCCCUGGAUGUGCAUUCUUGCUUAAUGACGUGGUCUGUGUUCCUCGUGGAUGUCCAGAGCCUUGGAAAAAAAGAAGCAAAAGGUAAACGGCCUACUGGCCUCCGACUUGCUCGCUCUGAUCAACCGUAUCCUUGCUUCUGUUCGUAGAUUGGUCAAGGAGAAGGAAGCGAUGGCCAACAGGUGUGUCGAGUUGGAGAAACAGCUGGCUCACGAAAGAGAGCUCGGGCGCUUGCUGCAGCAAAGGUGUGGCAAGCUCUAGCGAGAAGGCUGCGCUUUCCGUCGAGCACUUCUAGCUCAAGGAGGAUGAACAUAAUACCCUCAGCAUUCUUUAGGACGCUUUCAAAGCGCUGGCGGAUCCCCUUGGGAGCCUCGGGGUGGGAGCCACUGAGUCAAAGGACAACUGCAUGGUUUGGACCUGGGCCUAUGCCAUCAAGGUCUUGGCAGAAAAAAUUUCUGAGCUCUCAGCAACCCUGGCGUUGAGUGGGGUAGAGGACGUGGCGUAGGCGGUGAGGUCGUUUGCGGAGUACAUUUUCCGGUGUUGCCGUAGUCAUGACCACAACUUUAGCCUAGACCUUGUCCAGGAGCGAGCCGUGGUCGCCGGACCCGAAGUUGAGGAGAGACUUUAGCAGGAGUGUCAAGGAGCGGUGGAUUGCGUGACAUCUGUCUUCCGGGUGGAGGCCAUUGAGGAGUAAAGAAUCUGAUUGUAACUUUUGUUCUGUAAUAUAUUUGAAUGAAGCCCCUUUCUUUUUGUUCUCUAA